rnacentral:lncRNA from 1 species
AUAAUAGCCUCUUGUCCUCUAGACUGACUUCUCACUAAUACUGUGGCAAGAUGUUUAGAAUUGGGAUAUAGCAAAGAUUCUCUGAGACUGAAGGAACAACCCAAGGAAGAAAGAGCAUCUCCAAUGCUGAGAUACUGUAGUAGAAUUACAUAGCCAUGCCUGCUCUUUAAUCUGCUGUUGUGGCUAUUUGGAGAACAUGAACUCUCAAGAAUAGGCAGGUAUCCCACUAAAAAGAUAAGGCAUCAGUCUCUUGUUGCUAUGCCUCUGGAUUCUGCCUGCUCCCAGCUUAGAAAGGAAGGGCUUAUCCUAAAGUUCUGAAACAUUUACUGCUUGUCUCAAUAGGUAGAUUUUCAAUUAGGUCCCAUCUUCUCACCAUCUGUUAUUUCUGCAGUAUUUUGGCCUUCCUCUGGAGGAAGGUGACAGGAGACUGUUCUGUUCCUGCAGAAAAUUUGCUUGUCAUCAGAGUCACUGCGUGCUGUUGAAACAGCUACUGCCUACAUCGCUCUGCCUCUUGAAAGCUAGCAUUUGGGUGUGAAUCAAUUAUGAAAAGCGAUGCACACCGCCCCUGCACAUGAGCUUACACAUACACCCCACCUGAGAGCCCGAGACAUAGCGCUAAUGUCUGGAAUCGUGAACAUUCAUGCAGAGUACUUCAAACAAUACUAAAAACCCAGCCACUUUAAAGAGUGUGUGAGUAACCAUAGAAAUCCAGUGUUAUAUAAACCAGUUCUAAUAAAAUAAUUCAGAUCUUCUUAGUGCUUUAUAGUUUGGCAACAGUGCUUUUAUAUUUAUUUCCCCUUUUCCAUCUAUAAAUAUUACACGGGCUAUGAUCUAUUUUUCUACUCCAAGAAAGUAAAAAACCCAAAGGGUUAGCCCCAAGUGUCACAGUCCAGAAAAAAUGGCAACACUAUUAAAUUCAUGCUUUAAAUUGCACUUUUCUUUUCUUUUUUUCCUCCCUAUUUUCUGCCAUCUAUUUUCGUAGACAUCAGGGUAUAGGUAACUUUACUCCCUCAAAGGAGCAGAUCAAAAGGACCCAUGUAAGUUUGACCCUUAGAAGUUCACAUUGGCAUUUCAUUAUCAUUGGAGAAGGCCAACCAUUCUUCCUGGUAAGUCUUGUGUUAAAGACCUCUCACCCUCAGUCCAAAUAUCUCUCUAGAAAGUAAAAUGGUAGCCUUCUUGCAAAGCAAAACACUUUGCUAGGCAGAUACUUUGAAAAAAAUCUAAGAAUUGUCAAUAAAUAAUACUUUACUAAAUAUUGUAUUUAAUAUUAUAUUUAUAUUUAUUCUUGGAUGAUUUUUUAAUAAAUAUACAAAGUAUUUUGACUAUAUUCACCCCCUAUUUCCUAACUCAAAAUUCUCUUGGAUACAACCUCUCUCAAAUUCUACUCCCAAGUUCACAUCUUCUUAUUUUUAGUAUUAGUAAAGCAUUGAGCUCAAAUAGAGAUAUGUGUACAUGCAUGUAGGAUCAUCUACUAGACAUGGUCAACCUACCAGCGACCACACCCUGAAAUACAAUUGACUCUUCUUCCUUAGUAGUCAGUAGCUCAUUUGCUAGGGGUAGUGGGUCAUGAUGGUAUUUUUAAAUUUUUAUUGUAAAGAAUUUAUAAAGAGUGGUUAUUAUGCUGUAGAGAGGACUGAAGUGAUUGAAAAUGAGUUACUACGGAAUUCUGUGACAUCUGAAGGAUGGGGUAUGAUAGACAUGUAAAGCUUAAUGGCCGAAAUCACUAAGGUCAUUGUCUAAUUGGGAUUUAUAGGACUAAAGCUUGAUCCAAGUUACAAAUUUUGGGGCAGAAAUCAUUGGGCAGAAUUUGAAUGACUGAUUGCACAUCUUGUUAAAAAACCAUCACUAGGGAAUGUUAGGAGGCAGAAGGUAAUGAUGGAGAUGGAACUUCUCUGAAACAUCAGGACAGAAAAUGUUCUGAAACAGGAAGCAAAAUCCCUGUUAUAACACUCAGGUGUAUAUAAGUUAAAGAAAAAGGAACAAAGCUACUUCCAAAGCACAGGCAAUUAGAAACACCAUCAUGGUCAGAGGCCACUAGUAGUGAUCUUUGAAGAACUUUAAUAAUCCUCAUCAUCUCAUCAUUUACUUAAUACUUCUUAUCUGUUAUCAAGGCCAAUGGCUUCAUCAAUACCAAUUUAACUGUGUCUCUGAAUGAGUAAUGAUAAAAUUGUGAGGAGAACAAUCUAACAUGUCUAGAUAACUGUCCAAAAAUCAUCUCUGCAUCUUCCUUGAAACAUGAAUGUGACAAAUGAUCUCCAUGGAAGGGUUCAUUUAAUGACUUUCAACUGUGAAGAAUGUAGAUUUUUUUGUUUUUUGGUGUUUUUUUUUUUUUUUUUGGUUUGGUUGGGUUUUUUUAUUUUGUUUUGUUUUGUUUUUUGUAAUGUUCCUAUAUCUUAUCACAGGAACUCUCCAGGAGUUCUCUUGGUCAGCCAGUCAGUAGUGACAUGUGUAUAUCUAUUCCUGUACAAAUAGUCCUGAAUCACAUGUGCAUUGAUUCCCAGUAUAUUCUGUGGUAACG